CCCACGGAUUUAUUGAAAUCCACACUAAACAACGACAAAAAUAUUGG
rfam:Brassica oleracea var. oleracea cultivar TO1000 chromosome C9, whole genome shotgun sequence